UACGUAGGGUGCAAGCGUUGUCCGGAAUUUAUUGGGCGUAAAGAGCUCGUAGGCGGUCUGUCGCGUCUGCUGUGAAAACUCAGGGCUUAACCCUGAGCUUGCAGUGGGUACGGGCAGACUAGAGUGGCGGUAGGGGAGACUGGAAUUCCUGGUGUAGCGGUGAAAUGCGUAGAUAUCAGGAGGAACACCGAUGGGCGAAG
rnacentral:rRNA from 1 species